CGCACAUCCCGCGGACACCGACCCCAGAUGUAAAGCGGGACCCCAGCCCCUCGCCCCCCGGCGCGAUCGACAGUCUCGCCAGCGUCUCCUCUGCCAAAACCCAGGGCUGGAAGAUGUGGCAGCCGGCCACGGAGCGCCUGCAGCAUGUUGGUGUUCCAGCUGACUCUCCCAUCUGGCUCAGUCCUCUGAGACCUUUUCCAGCCCUGUAUCACAGUGCCUGGCUCCAGCCUCCAUGGCCAGUAGACUCAGGAGAUAUUGCUGUUGAAAGGCCGCCUGCUCUGCCUGGGGGAUCAUACUCCUGUCAGCCGCCUGCCCUGCCCAGGGGAUCAUACUCCUGUCAGCCACCUGCCCUGCCUGGGGGAUCAUACUCCUGUCAUAGCAGUUGAAGUUGCCCCUCUUCUGCCAAAGUCUUUCCUGGUAUCCAGUUGCAAUGAGUCAUCCCUUUCUUCUGGGUGUCCACAGUUUGUUCUUCUGCUUCAGUUAUACCAUUCAGCUCAUUCUUGUUUUUCUUUUUAUUGGAAUUAUGUGUGGACUUCUAUCUUCCAAAAGCCUAGAAGCUGAGGGCUGGGUCUUUGUUCAUCUUUGUGUGCCCCAUUGCACAUGGAAUAAUACUUGGAAUACAAGGCCGGCAACACCAUACAAGCUCAGUGAAUAUAUUUAUGUCAUGCUUCAAUAAACUAAUGAUAUUUUAUAAUUUAUUUUUUGUCAUCUCUCUUAAUUUCUGUGGAUGGAAAGGUAAGAGAUAGAGUGGCAUAAUGAGCAUGCUAAGAGAAGAAUUUUACUUUUGUGUUGAGAGAGGUAUUUUUCUUACAUUUAUCUUUAGAGCCACAUGUUAAUGGGGGAAAAUGCACAAUUCUAUGUGUUUAUAUUAAACUUUUUUGAAAUGUGUUCUGGAUUUUCUUGACAUUUAAAUAAAGAUAUUAUACAUUGCAGAUAGCUUGUACCCAAGUUAUUUCUACUUACUAUUAGGGACAUUCCCUUUGUUAUAUUUAAUUUCAGGAAUGCAAGAGAUGGCAAUAGUUGGAGCUAUUCAUAAAUGGC
rnacentral:lncRNA from 1 species